CUUUUUCGUAUUAAAUGCGACCCGGAUGUUCUUCGCUCAUUGUUUGAAUGGCUGGUAUGUGGCGUGUUUGUGUGAAUGUUUGGUGAGUGCUUGAGUGAGUGAAAGCGAGUGAAAGUGGUGCGUUUGUGUGCGAGUAUGAAUUUCUUUAAAAACCUACACACUGAUCUUAUUUGAUCUGGUCUGAGUUUGGCUCUGCUCUGAUCGGAGAUGAUAGGAAACACGCUCGCAAGCCUCCGUGGCGAUGAGCAGCCGGCGAGAUUUUAACCUCCAGGGCUUCCACGCUUUAUGUUGUGGUCAGAGGUGAUGAAUUGAUCAGAUAUACUAGUUCUGGGUGAGUUUGGCUUCAUCUCAAGCUUCACAGUGGGCAAUGAGUAUAGAGGCGAUUCUGAUCUAA